rnacentral:rRNA from 1 species
UACAGAGGGUGCUAGCGUUGUUCGGAAUUACUGGGCGUAAAGGGCUCGUAGGUGGCCAACUAAGUCAGACGUGAAAUCCCUCAGCUUAACUGGGGAACUGCGUCUGAUACUGGAUGGCUUGAGUUUGGGAGAGGGACGCGGAAUUCCAGGUGUAGCGGUGAAAUGCGUAGAGAUCAUGAGGAAGACCAGUGGCGAAGGCGGGUCUCUGGACAGUUCCUGACACUGAGGCACGAAGGCCAGGGGAGCAAACGGG